AUUGAACGCUGGCGGAAUGCUUUACACAUGCAAGUCGAACGGCAGCACGGACUUCGGUCUGGUGGCGAGUGGCGAACGGGUGAGUAAUGUAUCGGAACGUGCCCAGUCGUGGGGGAUAACGUAGUGAAAAUUACGCUAAUACCGCAUACGAUCUAUGGAUGAAAGCGGGGGAUCGCAAGACCUCGCGCGAUUGGAGCGGCCGAUAUCAGAUUAGGUAGUUGGUGGGGUAAAGGCCCACCAAGCCAACGAUCUGUAGCUGGUCUGAGAGGACGACCAGCAACACUGGAACUGAGACACGGUCCAGAAUCCUACGGGAGGCAGCAGUGGGGAAUUUUGGACAAUGGGCGAAAGCCUGAUCCAGCCAUUCCGCGUGCAGGAUGAAGGCCCUCGGGUUGUAAACUGCUUUUGUACAGAACGAAGAGGUUUCUACUAAUACUAGGAGCUCAUGACGGUACUGUAAGAAUAAGCACCGGCUAACUACGUGCCAGCCGCCGCGGUAA
rnacentral:rRNA from 1 species